UACGUAGGGGGCGAGCGUUGUUCGGAAUCACUGGGCGUAAAGCGUGCGUAGGCGGCUACGCAAGUCACAGGUGAAAGCCCUGCUUCCAAGGUAGGGAUUGCCUGUGAGACUGCGUGGCUAGAGGACAGGAGAGGGAGGCGGAACUCUGGGAGUAGCGGUGAAAUGCGUAGAUACCCAGGGGAACGCCAGUGGCGAAGGCGGCCUCCUAGCCUGUUCCUGACGCUGAGGCACGAAAGCUAGGGGAGCGAUCGGG
rnacentral:rRNA from 1 species